CUGCCAGUCAGGGAUGAUGGCAGCACCUGCUUCAGAGGGAUUUGGUGGGGACUCACCAGGCAGGCUCAGCCCCAGGAAGCCUGAUGAAGGAGCAUCAUGAAAAUGUUCUCCAGCAUCUGGAAGGGCAUUUUUGGCCAAGAUCUGUGAGCACUGAUUGGCUGGACCAGGUGGGAAGGGUAGCAACUGGGACGGAUACAGGAAAAGGAGCGGUUGUUCCGUUUCUCCUCUGCUACCAACUUCCCCGCCUCUAACAGACCAGCGUCAUGUUACGAGAGUUGGUAAAAACCAUCAGGAGGAAGUACAUCCCUGGUGCUCAGUGAUUAAGAAUCUGCCUGCCAAUGCAGAGGACGUGGGUUCAAUCCCUGGUCUGGGAAGAUUCCAUAUGCCACGGGGCAGCUAAGUCCAUGCACUGCAGCUACUGAGCCUGCCUGCUGUAACUACUGAAGCCCACGUGUCCAGAGUCUGUGCCCCGCAACAAGAGAUGCGGCCGCAGUGACAAGCCUGUGCGCUGCAACUGGAGAGCAGACCCUGCCCACAGCAAUGGAGACGCAGCACAGCCGUAAAAAAAUCAAUACAAACUAUUUUUAGAAAACCGUCAGGAGGAAAGCGAAGGUCAUGAGAGAGACUGAGCACAGAUGGCGCUUCCUGUUUGGUAACACCUCACGUGGGCUCCUCGUCCCCCACCGACUCUGCCAGUCACCAUCCCACACAGUCAAGCAUGCCCAGGAUUACAGGUUUGUCAAGAACACAUCCUCGUGUCUGCCAAGGAGUGCCUGUUGGAGGAAGAAUUCGAACAGAGGACGUUCGGAGAUCGAGCCUCAUGAGAUCAGCAUUCUCAACUCUUCUAAGGUUGACAAACAGGGAGGGAGAGAAAACAAAACCACAGCAGCUUUCAUUGCUGAAAACACAAAACUGACUCGUUUGCCUAAUAAGCCCUGAUGGAAGGGUUUUAUUUCUGAGAGGAAAUGCUGAAGUCUCCAGUCCAAGGAGCCUCUGGUGGGCAGUCAGAUCGCCACAGACUGAAAUGUGAUGUCCAGGCAGAAGGCAGCCGCUAACCCAGGGGUCAGGAGCCCAGGGGCAGGGGCCACACUGCUGACCAGUGGGGCCUGGCCUGAUGGACAUACUUGCAGAACUGCGCCCUCCACCCAGCCCUGCAAUCCUAUUAGUCUCUUCAGCCAAUUUUGAUUUUAUGGGAUCUGUGUAUUCUCUUUUCUCUUAUUUUCCAUGUUAUUAAUUUCAGGUAUUGAUUAACUCCCAUCUUGUACUUGCUUUUUCUGUUUGCUUUUCUCAUUUCUUAUGAUGUGUCUUCAGGUCUGUACAUAUUCCCCCGGAGCUGAGCUUUUUUUUCCAGAUCUCAUAGGUUUUGGAAAUAAAAUGUUCCACUUUUCAUCUCUUUUUAGAUGAUUUUUAAUUUCAGUUUUACUGUUUCUUUUGAUCCAUGGGUUAUCUAGAAGAAUGUUUAUUAAUUUCCAAGUAGUUAAGAAUAUUUUCAGC
rnacentral:lncRNA from 1 species